GUUCACAGCCACACCACCCUGAAAGUAUUCCGUUUUUGUUUGAUCUUAGAAGCUAAGCAGGAUAGGGCCUCAUUACUACUUCAACGGGAGCUCAAGAAGAGAUUGUGGACA
rnacentral:rRNA from 1 species